GAAUGAAGCAAGCAUGGUAAUGUGCACAUAAAUUGAAUUGGAUUUUUAGGCAUGCCCCCUCUGAUAUCAUAUGGCUUUGAUUUGGGGGCAUGAAUCCGCAGCAAAACA